ACCUGGCUGGCUCAGUUGGUAGAGCAUGCAACUCUUGAUCUCAGGAUUGUGAGUUUGAGCCCCAUGUUGGGUA
rnacentral:tRNA from 1 species